rnacentral:tRNA from 1 species
UGUUCUGUGGCUUAGUAGGUUAGAGCACUGGUCUUACUAAUACGGGGUCGUGGGUUCGUAUCCCAUUAGAACGC